UCAUAUUUAUCGCAUUAAUGCAAAUAUUAUAUAUAUUUUGUCCAUUAGAUUACAUAAACCACCCAUAGUGCUUCUCAGCAUGCGCGCUCAUCAUCUGCCGCUUCCAUCAUCACCAACGCUUCCAACCCUUCCAACGUCAGAAAAAAAAAACAACAAAACAAAACCACUAUAGAUGCGACGGUCUCAGAUCCCAGGAACCAAAUUGAUUCAAAAUCCUGGAAUUAAAUUAAUCGUAAGCGCUCGCAAGUUUCAGUGCUCUCGUUAGUGCCUAUAGUUAGUGCCUUAUAUAUAAGAAUGUUGGAUAAAACUAAUUGGAAUCGGCUUCAAAGUCUGGGAAGAAUCGACCCCCGUUUCCAUGGACAAAGGGCAGACUUCCUGGAGGUCCUAGAAGAGAAUAUUUUCGUGUACAAUGGACAUUCCUGAAUAUCUGAAUUUUAAAAGUAGGUGACACGAAAUUUCAAUAAAGAUGGGAAUCCCAAGUCGCUGGGACAUUCGAAUGAGAACCGGGACGAAAAUUUAUUGGCUACUACAGCCACCGACGAACUGCAGCUGAUGCAGAUGAUUAUAUUUAUUUCCUUUUUUGUUUGCAUGUUUCAUGAAACGAGUAUGUGUACAUAUAAUUAUUUUCAAAGAAUUAAAUAAAAAUCUUUUGUUUGUACAAAUAUA